rnacentral:misc_RNA from 1 species
GAUGAAGAACGUAGCGAAAUGCGAUAAGUAAUGUGAAUUGCAGAAUUCAGUGAAUCAUCGAAUCUUUGAACGCACAUUGCGCCCCCUGGUAUUCCGGGGGGCAUGCCUGUCCGAGCGUCAUUACUGCCCUCAAGCGCGGCUUGUGUGUUGGGCCCUCGUCCCCCCCGGGGGACGUGCCCGAAAGGCAGUGGCGGCGCCGUGCCCGGACCUCGAGCGUAUGGGGCUUUGUCACCCGCUCUGGAGACCCGGCCGGCGGCCGUCUGACCACCCCAACCUUUUUAACCGGUUGACCUCGGAUCAGGCAGGGAUACCCGCUGAACUUAAGCAUAUCAAUAAGCGGAGGA